UAAAAAUAUUUUGUGCAGUUUGGAAGAACUAGAGGUCAGGAUUGCUUGACCUAGCGUCUCCAAGCAAACCCAAGUCAAGUAAGCUGCCAAGGUGACCUAGGAAGAGGGUGGCCCUAUGAGCUCUAGCAGCCAAUGGCCUGGGACCGCACCCUGGGAGGCAGCCAAGACAAAGAAUCCAAUCCAGGAUCCUGCGUUUGCAUUUAGUUGC